rnacentral:rRNA from 1 species
AGAGUUUGAUUCUGGCUCAGAUUGAACGCUGGCGGCAGGCCUAACACAUGCAAGUCGAGCGGUAGCACGAGAGAGCUUGCUCUCUGGGUGACGAGCGGCGGACGGGUGAGUAAUGUCUGGGAAACUGCCUGAUGGAGGGGGAUAACUACUGGAAACGGUAGCUAAUACCGCAUAACGUCUACGGACCAAAGUGGGGGACCUUCGGGCCUCACGCCAUCAGAUGUGCCCAGAUGGGAUUAGCUAGUAGGUGGGGUAAUGGCUCACCUAGGCGACGAUCCCUAGCUGGUCUGAGAGGAUGACCAGCCACACUGGAACUGAGACACGGUCCAGACUCCUACGGGAGUCAGCAGUGGGGAAUAUUGCACAAUGGGCGCAAGCCUGAUGCAGCCAUGCCGCGUGUGUGAAGAAGGCCUUAGGGUUGUAAGGCACUUUCAGCGAGGAGGAAGGGUUCAGUGUUAAUAGCACUGUUCAUUGACGUUACUCGCAGAAGAAGCACCGGCUAACUCCGUGCCAGCAGCCGCGGUAAUACGGAGGGUGCAAGCGUUAAUCGGAAUUACUGGGCGUAAAGCGCACGCA